rnacentral:rRNA from 1 species
GACGAAUGCUGGCGGCGUGCUUAACACAUGCAAGUCGAACGGAAAGGCCCUGCUUGCAGGGUACUCGAGUGGCGAACGGGUGAGUAACACGUGGGUGAUCUGCCCUGCACUUCGGGAUAAGCCUGGGAAACUGGGUCUAAUACCGGAUAGGAGCCAUUUUUAGUGUGAUGGUUGGAAAGUUUUUUCGGUGUAGGAUGAGCUCGCGGCCUAUCAGCUUGUUGGUGGGGUAAUGGCCUACCAAGGCGGCGACGGGUAGCCGGCCUGAGAGGGUGGACGGCCACAUUGGGACUGAGAUACGGCCCAGACUCCUACGGGAGGCAGCAGUGGGGAAUAUUGCACAAUGGGCGCAAGCCUGAUGCAGCGACGCCGCGUGGGGGAUGACGGCCUUCGGGUUGUAAACUCCUUUCGCUAGGGACGAAGCUUUUGUGACGGUACCUAGAUAAGAAGCACCGGCUAACUACGUA